UACGUAGGUGGCAAGCGUUGUCCGGAAUUGUUGGGCGUAAAGCGCGCGCAGGCGGUUUCUUAAGUCUGAUGUGAAAGCCCCCGGCUCAACCGGGGAGGUUCAUUGGAAACUGGGAAACUUGAGUGCAGAAGAGGAAAGUGGAAUUCCAAGUGUAGCGGUGAAAUGCGUAGAGAUUUGGAGGAACACCAGUGGCGAAGGCGACUUUCUGGUCUGUAACUGACGCUGAGGCGCGAAAGCGUGGGGAGCAAACAGG
rnacentral:rRNA from 1 species